UUGGCCUUUUGGGUUCCAGCGGGGGGGAAUUUUGCCCAACGGGGGCAACCUUGUCCCAGCCACCCCGAGUUUGUGAAAACAGCUUUCGGGUGGUAAAGAACUUUCCGUAGGGGGAAACUUUUCUAGGUCCAAAACAGUGAUAAUGGACGUUAAAUACAGAAGAAGGACCGGCUAACUCCGAGCCAGCCGCCGCGGUUAUACGGAGGGUGCGGGCGUUAAUCGGAAUUACUGGGCGUAAAGCGGGCGCAGGCGGCUUAUUAAGUUGGAUGUGAAAUCCCCGAGCUUAACCUGGGAACUGCAUUCGUAACUGGUGAACUAGAGUGUAGGAGAGGGGGGUAGAAUUCCAGGUGUAGCGGUGAAAUGCGUAGAGAUGUGGAGGAAUACCGGUGGAGAAGGCGGCCAUCUGGCCUAAUACUGACGCUCAUGCACGAAAGCAUGGGGAGCAAACAGGAUUAGAUACCCUGGUAGUCCAUGCCGUAAACGAUGUCUACUAGCCGUUAGGGCCUUGAGGCGUUAGUUCCGCAGCUAAAGCAAUAAGUAGACCGCCUGGGGAGUAAA
rnacentral:rRNA from 1 species